UAGGGUCGGCUGCGUAAUUAUACGAGGCA
rnacentral:piRNA from 1 species